AGGUUAAAGACUACAUGAGACUUUGACAGAUGGCGGGAAACCCUCAUCCACUGGUACGAACCCGGUAGAGGAAUGUCUGCAACUAAGCCGAGGGCCACUGGAUAAGGGUUGUUGAUGGUAAAACAGGUAGAGGAAUGUCUGCAACUAAGCCGAGGGCCACUGGAUAAGGGUUGUUGAUGGUAAAACAGGUAGAGGAAUGUCUGCGACUAAGCCGAGGGCCACUGGAUAAGGGUUGUUGAUGGUAAAACAGGUAGAGGAAUGUCUGCAACUAAGCCGAGGGCCACUGGAUAAGGGUUGUUGAUGGUAAAACAGGUAGAGGAAUGUCUGCAACUAAGCCGAGGGCCACUAGAUAAGGGUUGUUGAUGGUAAAACAGGUAGAGGAAUGUCUGCAACUAAGCCGAGGGCCACUAGAUAAGGGUUGUUGAUGGUAAAACAGGUAGAGGAAUGUCUGCAACUAAGCCGAGGGCCACUGGAUAAGGGUUGUUGAUGGUAAAACAGGUUAAAGACUACAUGAGACUUUGACAGAUGGCGGGAAACCCUCAUCCACUGGUACGAACCCGGUAGAGGAAUGUCUGCAACUAAGCCGAGGGCCACUAGAUAAGGGUUGUUGAUGGUAAAACAGGUAGAGGAAUGUCUGCAACUAAGCCGAGGGCCACUGGAUAAGGGUUGUUGAUGGUAAAACAGGUAGAGGAAUGUCUGCAACUAAGCCGAGGGCCACUGGAUAAGGGUUGUUGAUGGUAAAACAGGUAGAGGAAUGUCUGCAACUAAGCCGAGGGCCACUGGAUAAGGGUUGUUGAUGGUAAAACAGGUAGAGGAAUGUCUGCAACUAAGCCGAGGGCCACUGGAUAAGGGUUGUUGAUGGUAAAACAGGUUAAAGACUACAUGAGACUUUGACAGAUGGCGGGAAACCCUCAUCCACUGGUACGAACCCGGUAGAGGAAUGUCUGCAACUAAGCCGAGGGCCACUGGAUAAGGGUUGUUGAUGGUAAAA